rnacentral:rRNA from 1 species
AACGAACGCUGGCGGCAGGCCUAAUACAUGCAAGUCGAACGAUCUCGCAAGAGAUAGUGGCGCACGGGUGCGUAACACGUGGGAAUUUACCCUUGACUACGGAACAACGUCGGGAAACUGACGCUAAUACCGUAUAAUGACUCCGGUCCAAAGAUUUAUCGGUCAAGGAUGAGCCCGCGCUAGAUUAGGUAGUUGGUAGGGUAAUGGCCUACCAAGCCUACGAUCUAUAGCUGGUCUGAGAGGAUGAUCAGCCACACUGGAACUGAGACACGGUCCAGACUCCUACGGGAGGCAGCAGUAAGGAAUAUUGGACAAUGGGGGCAACCCUGAUCCAGCCAUGCCGCGUGAGUGACGAAGGCCUUCGGUUGUAAGCUCUUUCGGAUGUGAAGAUAAUGACAGUAGCAUAAGAAGAAG